AAUAUGUGGUCAGUCUUUAAUUAAAAAAAAAAAUAUUUUCCUGUUACUUCUUUUACUCAAUCUUUCUGUUCUCAACUCCUGGAUCUCAAACACACACACACACACACACAUACAUUCAUUCAUUCAAAAAUAUUUACUGAGCAUUUAUCCAUGCACCUGACACUGUGAUAGAUGUAGGAUAUUCUCUAUAUAUGGCUCCUAAUCUCAUGAAGUUUCAUUUUAAAGGGAUGGUGUUUGCCUGGAUCUUCUGUCUCAACUUUUCUCAUAAUUUCCUUCUUCUGAUCUUUUCUUCUAUGAUUCUGGUAGUAUCCUUCAGCUUAAAAUUUUGGCUCAGUAAUUUGAUUUUCAGACAUGUUUAUUCAAACUUGGCCUAAAACACAUCUUUAUUUUAGCAACUACUAUUUUUUAUUUCCAAGAUAUUUCCUUCUCAUAGGUUUGCAUUUUUCUAUUUAUUUUAUAAGUUUUUUUUUAUUUAUUCAUGAGAGACACAGAGAGAGAGACAGAGGCAGAGACACAGGCAGAGGAAGAAGCAGGCUCCAUGCAGGGAGCCCGAUGCGGGACUUGAUCCUGGUACUCCAGGAUCACGCCCUGGGCCAAAGGCAGGCAUUAAACCACUGAGCCACCCAGGGAUCCCCUGCAUUUUUUUAAAUUAGUGCAAUAACCUCUAAAAUUCUUUGAAGAUUAUAAUAUAUAAUACUGUAUCUAAGGAUUACAUAUAAAAAUAUUUAUAAUUAUUGCUUAUUAUUACAUAUAAUAUUAAAUUUACUUUAGCAUUUGCUAAAAUAUUUUUAAGUUUAAAGUUGUUGUUUUACCUGUACUGUUGCUCUCUUCCUUAAAUGUUUGUUGCUUCUAUGUUGUCUGUUAUUGGUAAAUCAGAACAUAGGGGUCAGCAAACUUUUUCUGUAAAGGUCCCGUUACUAUUUUAGGCUUUGGAGGCCACCAUUAGGUAUCUGUCACGUAUCUUUUUGUUUUCUACAACCCUCUAAAAAUGUAAAAUCCAUACAAAAACAGGCAGUGGGAGGCUUGCAGAUGGUGGUUUGUAAAACUACUAGAUUUUUCAGUAUUGUUACCUGGUUUAUUUUCUCAAUUUGAGUGAAAUUCUGUGGCAGAUUUUUAUUACAAGGAACCUGGAUUUUAAUUGUGUGAAGGAGGAGGGAGGAAUAAGUUGGAAAAAUGGACAGCCACUAGGUUUUACUGUUUACCCAUUUUCUAACUAUGAGGAAUCAAAGCCCCUUAUGGUAUCCACAAACACCUAGGGCAUUAGCACACUUUGAUGGCUGCUAUAAAUAUGCUCUGGAGUCUACUACUACAGACGUUUCACUCUAAUUAGCAAACAGCAAGCUGUGGUAUGGCUUCUGACUGGAGGAGUAUCAUGGACCAAGACUCCUAAACCAGGGACUAGCCUAACUACUCAGUCCUUCAAUAACCUGGCUUACCAUACUACAGCCACCCACUCUGACAGCUGACUCAAAAAAUGGAGGUGUAGGCCACCUGGGUGGCUAAGUCGGUUAAGCAUCCGACUCCUGAUUUAAGCUCAGGUCAUGAUCUCAGGUUUGUGAAAUCCAGCCCCAUGUCAGGCUGCACACUGAGGAUGGAACCUGUAUCAGAUUCCUUCUCUGCCUUCUCCCUUUGCCCACCACCCCUCCCCUCUUAAAAAAACAAAAACAAAUAAAUAAAUAAAAAUGGAGGUGCUUCCUUAACUUUCAUCUCUAUGUGGACUGAGGCUCUCCAUUUCACCAAAAUCUGGUUCCUUCUUUGGUAUCUUCUAGAAAUGCUUCACAGAAACUUUGGUGUCUUUCCAGUGUUGUAUGAAUCACUGCAUGGUUUCUGUUAUUUUAAUAGAACUGUAGAAGGACUUGAAUCCAAUAUGUCAUUUUGAUCUAGACCUCUCCCCAAAUUCAUAAUUUAUAUUUAUCUAAUAACUAAGCUUCUUAUACUUGGUCCCUUCUACACUCUUGGUCACCUAGGAGGCCAUCUUAUCACCAACAACUCUAUCUCACCCCUACCUCAAACAUAGUCUUUUAAAAAAAAUUUUAAACAAAAACUAGUAAAAUCAGGAGAAGGGGAAGGGAAAUGCGGGAAGAGACUAGCAUGACUGCUUCUGAAGAGGCCCAAAUUGGUGGCAGCAUGGACUGAAUUUACCACACCCAAGGCCAGCCUUGCAGGCCCCCCUGAUUUUGUCUGCAUACCAAAUAGAGAACCAGCUAUCUGGGUAGGAACUAUCAAAUAAAGUCACACUGUUAAUCUAAAAUAUAAACUGUAAAAUAAAUUAAUUAAUUAAUUAAAUAAAAUAUAAACUGUAACUAUCACAAGGACUAAAACACUUCUGCCUGCAUGACUACUCCAUUUUCUGUCCAUCAGAACUACCGUGGAUUCCAAAUUGUAAUCAAGUUUGUCAUUAAUGCCUCUGAAAUGUAUGCUCAAAAAUGGUGAAAGUGAUAAAUCUUAUGCUUAGGUGUAUUUUACACAUACAUAAAGUUUGUAUUUACAGCAAGGACAAUUUGGUAGGCAAAGUAAACGUCAAAUAAUGUAAGUCUGAUAAUAAGAUAAUCUGAUACUAUCUAUGUCUAGUUAAAAACAACCUUACCAAUAAAAACAGAAUUAUCAAAUACAUUUUGCCGUGCAUUAUCAAUAUUUGCCCUUGUAGUUCUUUUUUCUAUAUGUCCAUGACUUUUGGUAUACAAAUUGCUGCAUAUAUUUUAUUUUCACCUCAUUCUUAGAAAGCGUUAAUGGCUUUUUAGUUAUGCUACAUAAUACUGUACUAUUCUAAAAUAUAAUAGUAUAUUAUAAAAUAUUAAGAUUUUAAAAUGCAAUUAAAAUUAAAUAAUUAUAAAUACAAAAUAAGUAUAUUUUAUAAUAUGCUAUAGCAUAGUCAUAUAAAAUAUAAGAAAUUUGUAACACAGAUAGUUAAAUCUUGGCAACUCUAAGGAACCAUUCUGCCUCCUGAACCAGGGUCAUAAAUUCAAAUGUUUACAGGCACAGGCAGUUAAUAUAAAUAUGUUAAGUCUGAGACACAAGGUUGGAGAAGCAGGAAAGGAACAAAACAUACAGAACUACAGAUGCCAUACUAAAAGAAUUUGGAUGUUCACUGACAUGUACAAAAAGCCAGUGAAGAAUUUCAAGUAGAGAAUGAUACAACAGAGAGCUUGUUGUAUGGGAAAACAGUUCUAUUACUAGAACUUCAACUUGUAAGAAUUACAUAAUCUAAUGGGAGAAAAAGAACAAGAACAAAGUCCAAUUUCCUGACUCCUCUAAAAAUUUGCAACAGAUCAUUCCAGUGCUUUUGUAAGAUAUUAUGAGAAUUCCCGAAACCUGUGCCUGUUGACUAAAGGGCAGAAACUCCUGUUUUGAUAGAGGAGUUACAGGCACUAGAAAUCUGAGGACACUAGAAAUGUUCUUGAA
rnacentral:lncRNA from 1 species